rnacentral:rRNA from 1 species
UACGUAGGGCGCAAGCGUUGUCCGGAAUUAUUGGGCGUAAAGAGCUCGUAGGCGGCCUGUCGCGUCUGCUGUGAAAUCCCGGGGCUUAACCCCGGGCGUGCAGUGGAUACGGGCUGGCUGGAGGCAGGCAGGGGAGAACGGAAUUCCCGGUGUAGCGGUGAAAUGCGCAGAUAUCGGGAGGAACACCAGUAGCGAAGGCGGCUCGCUGGGCCAUUCCUGACGCUGAGACGCGAAAGCUAGGGGAGCGAACAGG